rnacentral:lncRNA from 1 species
UGGGUUCUCUAAAUUGCCUAUCUUAUUGUCACCUAUCUAGAAGGCUACUAUACUCCCUAACUAGCCAACCACGAUAAGACCAACAUGAGAGACAUGUUAAUGCCUGAUGACCAAGGAUUAUUAGCCUUGCCUAUAAGUAUUCAUCUUUGGCCUCAGGAGGACUUCUUCAAUCUUGGAAUCCCAUGCUUCAUACUCUUCUCUUCUUCUAAGCAAC